GAUGAACGCUGGCGAUAGGCCUAACACAUGCAAGUCGAGGGGCAUCACAUGAAGUAGCAAUACGGAUGGUGGCGACCGGCGCACGGGUGAGUAACACGUAUGCAACCUGCCUUCAACAAGGGGAUAACCCGUUGAAAGACGGACUAAUACCCUAUAACACAGGGGUCCCGCAUGGGAAUAUUUGUUAAAGGACAACCGGUUGAAGAUGGGCAUGCGUUCCAUUAGCUAGUUGGCGGGGUAACGGCCCACCAAGGCAACGAUGGAUAGGGGAACUGAGAGGUUUAUCCCCCACACUGGUACUGAGACACGGACCAGACUCCUACGGGAGGGCAGCAGUGAGGAAUAUUGGUCAAUGGACGCAAGUCUGAACCAGCCACGUCGCGUGAAGGAAGACGGCCCUACGGGUUGUAAACUUCUUUUAUACGGGGAAUAAAGUGCCCCACGCGUGGGGUUUUGCAUGUACCG
rnacentral:rRNA from 1 species